CUCAUAUGCAUAUCUAGUGCCUACAGGACACGAAAUUAAACUCGCGGCAGCAGCAGCGCAACCGCCCUGAAAAUGAAUACCCCUGAAUGUAGUGUCUCGGCCAUGCCCUUAUCCUAACUUAACCUAGUGCGUGUCGCACCUAUGAGCCACCACAUACAGGGGUAAAGAUUGGUAAUACCUUGUGUUCUAUUUAAUACUUUAAACCACCAUAGUCGCCACAAGAGAGGGAACCUAGUCACUGGUAGCGGAAUAUUUUUCAUGAAGUAAGACCGGCUACCAGGUAUUUUACCUUACUACGGGAGAGAAAAUGUUUGAAAACCGCACAGUUCAACCGUCAUUGUAGUCUUCACAUAACUUCUUGAGAUGAAACGUCCACCACGAUUUUCAUCAUGUCUUCUUACGGGUACUACUUGCACCCUCUAAGCUAUGGGUACCAUUUGUACCCCCUAACCCCAAGAAAAACUAUG